rnacentral:rRNA from 1 species
UACAGAGGUCUCAAGCGUUGUUCGGAUUCAUUGGGCGUAAAGGGUGCGUAGGUGGCGCCGUAAGUCAGGUGUGAAAUUUCGGAGCUUAACUCCGAAACUGCAUUUGAUACUGCGGUGCUUGAGGACUGGAGAGGAGACUGGAAUUCCCGGUGUAGUGGUGAAAUGCGUAGAUAUCGGGAGGAACACCAGUGGCGAAGGCGACUUCCUGGCCUGUUCUUGACGCUGAGGCGCGAAAGCUAGGGGAGCAAACGGG